rnacentral:rRNA from 1 species
UACGGGGGGGGCAAGCGUUGUUCGGAAUUACUGGGCGUAAAGGGCUCGUAGGCGGCCAAGUAAGUCAGACGUGAAAUCCCUCAGCUUAACUGGGGAACUGCGUCUGAUACUGGAUGGCUUGGAUUCGGGAGAGGAAUGCGGAAUUCCAGGUGUAGCGGUGAAAUGCGUAGAUAUCUGGAGGAACACCGGUGGCGAAGGCGACAUUCUGGACCGAUAUUGACGCUGAGGAGCGAAAGCCAGGGGAGCAAACGGG